GAUAACAAGUCAAAAGCAGGAUUAGUGGUGGUAAAACCUCCAUCUAAAGCUAAAUUAUGCCCACUCAUGUACUUGGAUUCAUCACUGAUGGCUAGAUAAAUUGCAGCUUCAGCCACAUCUUCAUGUUUAAGUUUCACCCAUUUGAGUAUACACCAUUAUUAGACCCUCCAUCCUCAUCCAUCUUGAAAAAAGCUCAUCCCCAAUAUAUGGCAUUUGAAUGUAUAAAUUAUUUUAUUAAUGAAAUU
rnacentral:misc_RNA from 1 species